UCCUGGCUUAGGACGAACGCUGGCGGCGUGCCUAAUACAUGCAAGUCGAACGGCUUUUCUAUGGAAGCUUGCUUCCACUGAGAAGAUAGUGGCGAACGGGUGAGUAACACGUGGGUAACCUGCCCAUAAGAGGGGGAUAACAUCCGGAAACGGGUGCUAAUACCGCAUAGUUUUCUUGAUCGCAUGAUUGAGAAAGGAAAGACGGCCUUUGUGCUGUCGCUUAUGGAUGGACCCGCGGCGUAUUAGUUAGUUGGUGAGGUAACGGCUCACCAAGACGAUGAUACGUAGCCGACCUGAGAGGGUGAUCGGCCACAUUGGGACUGAGACACGGCCCAAACUCCUACGGGAGGCAGCAGUAGGGAAUCUUCCGCAAUGGACGAAAGUCUGACGGAGCAACGCCGCGUGAGUGAAGAAAGGUUUUCGGAUCGUAAAACUCUGUUGUCAGAGAAGAACAAGUUGGAGAGUAACUGCUCCAGCCUUGACGGUAUCUGACCAGAAAGCCACGGCUAACUACGUGCCAGCAGCGGC
rnacentral:rRNA from 1 species